rnacentral:lncRNA from 1 species
GGCACACACACACACACACAUACACACACACACACAUGUGUAUAUAUGUACGUAUAGCUGGGACCGCAUCCCAAAAAUAGACCUUCCCUUCAAAUCGAAAAACGAAAUUGGUCACCAUUUCUAACUGUUCAAGCAAGGAAGUAGAGGCUCUGUCUUUGAGAAGUCGUAUUAUAUUGAAUUUGACCCAAUCUUCUUAUUUCUUUUCCCCUUCUCCUCAACCUUACAUUAUGACACCAGGCGCUUGGUGUAGUCCUUUUUUUCCGGGGUUGCAAACCUCUGGAAUUUCUUUACUCUGUCACAUAUAUUUUGUAAACAUUAGUUUAUAAGAGGAGAAAGAGAGAGGGGAAGUGGGGGUGAAGGGCAAUUGCUCUCGGCUGCAGACGUCAAGAGGCGCAAAAUUUUAUUUGCGCUGUCAAUUAAGAAAUAGCGUUGGUGUUGAGAACUGUUGCGAUAUCACUGCAGUGAAUAUUCACCACAUAAGUUUCACCAUCUCAACGUCUGUAUACAUAAUGGGUACUUCGUUCCGUCUCCAGAUUUAUUUUAUCAUUUUAUUGUUUUUGACAAACUUCAUUAUAUUCUUUCUUUACCGUAUUAGCCUUAUAAGAAAUUCAAAAACCAAGUGAGAGAUUGAAUCUAAUGCUAACUUAUAUUGUUGUAGUCGUUCUUCUAUCAGAACAAUUAUGACAGCAUUAACAUGAUCAAAGUCAAUCCACCUGUGAUCGUCCGGGUUUGUUUUCACAUAACAUAUAUAGUACUAUUGGAGGGAAAUUAGGAUUUUAUGCCUAGCAAGUCGAGUAAUAAACUGCAUGGAAGCUUCUUUGUUGGCCAGCCCCCACCACAUUGAUAUGAGAAACUUAAUGAAAGAUCCACUCAUAUAUGUAUACAUUAAAGUGGAGCCUAUAUGCAGUUACACGAUCUGCAAGAAAUACUAGAAAUACCAGCUAAAUUACACUAGAAUCAAUCUCUUUCGCCUCAAAGAAGAGCUACAUUGGAAUUCUGUAAUGUUAUCCUCUGAAGUUUGUCUGACUCAACUAUAAACUAAUAGUGAGAAUAUCAUAAAAAGUCAUCACCAACGCGAAACCACAAACCUACAAGUAACUUAACGUAUGACUAUAAUGACGUAAAAUUUCAAUGCAAAUAUGAAAGUUGAAGGGUGAAAUUGCGAUGGAUGCAAAAUAUAUUUUUACUCGUCUUGACUCUGUUUUUAUAGCAAGGAACCAUAUUAUCACAUUGAUAUACACAACACAAAAUAAUACAAGAGGGAAAAUUCGAUAACAAAAUUAUACAGAAUUAUAGAAAAAAUGAGAUGAUAAUGGAAGAUAUUUAAGAACAGUCGCUCGUUACUCAUUAAGGAUGGUCACUUUGUUUGGUAAUGAUAGUCUGCUCCUCAAUAAAUCGAAUCGGAAAUUUAAAAUACCAUCUGUUAGUCUCUACUUCCUUUCACGGAAUAACAGCAUGCACAUGUAUAUACAUUU